UACGGGGGGGGCAAGCGUUGUUCGGAAUUACUGGGCGUAAAGGGCUCGUAGGCGGCCAACUAAGUCAGACGUGAAAUCCCUCGGCUUAACCGGGGAACUGCAUCUGAUACUGGAUGGCUUGAGAUUGGGAGAGGGAUGCGGAAUUCCAGGUGUAGCGGUGAAAUGCGUAGAGAUCGACUAGAACACCGGUGGCGAAGGCGAGUCUCUGGACAGUUCCUGACGCUCAGGCACGAAAGCCAGGGGAGCAAACGGG
rnacentral:rRNA from 1 species